rnacentral:misc_RNA from 1 species
GAUGAAGAACGUAGCGAAAUGCGAUACGUAAUGUGAAUUGCAGAAUUCAGUGAAUCAUCGAAUCUUUGAACGCAUAUUGCGCUCUCUGGUAUUCCGGAGAGCAUGCUUGUUUGAGUAUCAGUAAACACCUCAACUCCCUUUUCUUUUUUGAAAUGGGAGCUGGACUUGAGUGAUCCCAACACUUUUCUCACUGGAAAGUGGCGGGUCACUUGAAAUGCAGGUGCAGCUGGACUUUUCUCUGAGCUAUAAGCAUAUCUAUUUAGUCUGCCUAAAAAACAGAUUAUUACCUUUGCUGCAGCUAACAUAAAGGAGAUGAGUUCUUGUGCUGACUGAUGCAGGAUUCACAGAGACAGCUUUGCGGCUGACUUUGUAAACUCGAUCUCAAAUCAAGUAAGACUACCCGCUGAACUUAAGCAUAUCAAAAGCGGAGGA